AGUGAACGCUGGCGGUAGGCCUAACACAUGCAAGUCGAACGGCAGCACAGUAAGAGCUUGCUCUUACGGGUGGCGAGUGGCGGACGGGUGAGGAAUACAUCGGAAUCUACUUUUUCGUGGGGGAUAACGUAGGGAAACUUACGCUAAUACCGCAUACGACCUACGGGUGAAAGCAGGGGAUCUUCGGACCUUGCGCGAUUGAAUGAGCCGAUGUCGGAUUAGCUAGUUGGCGGGGUAAAGGCCCACCAAGGCGACGAUCCGUAGCUGGUCUGAGAGGAUGAUCAGCCACACUGGAACUGAGACACGGUCCAGACUCCUACGGGAGGCAGCAGUGGGGAAUAUUGGACAAUGGGCGCAAGCCUGAUCCAGCCAUACCGCGUGGGUGAAGAAGGCCUUCGGGUGGUAAAGCCCUUUUGUUGGGAAAGAAAAGCAGCAGGUUAAUACCCCGCUGUUCUGACGGUACCCAAAGAAUAAGCACCGGCUAACUU
rnacentral:rRNA from 1 species